GGCGUUGGUGGUGGUGGAGGCGGCGGUGGCGGUGGUGGUGGUGGUGGUGGUGGUGGUGGUGGUGGAGGAGGCGGUGGCGGUGGCGGUGGCGGUGGCGGUGGCGGUGGCGGUGGCGGUGGCGGUGGCGGUGGUCGUGGUGGUGGAGGCGGCGGCGAUGGCGGUAAAUAAGUAGGCGGCGGCGGUGGUGGUGGUGAAGGUGACGGUGGCGGUGGUCGUGGUGGUGGAGGCGGCGGCGGAUGCGGCGGUGGUGGUAAAUAAGUAGGUGUUGGAGAAGGGCGAGGGGGAGAUGGUGGAGGUGGAGGAGGCGGA
rnacentral:misc_RNA from 1 species